rnacentral:lncRNA from 1 species
AAACUCAAGAGCAUCUGCCCUACCUCAUUUGCUGGGAUCUAUUAAUCUCUUACAAUAGCCAGCAGCUAACCCAUCUGGCAGACACCUGGUCUUGAUUUAAUUAACUGGAGAAUUGAAAGAAAGGAGGAAAUGAGAUCCUUUCCUACACCACAUACCUGGAGGUGAGGUGCCUUGUUAAGCAAGGGGGAUCUCGAGUGAUUCCGGGGUAGCCACACCACUCAAGAGGCCCACCCAGAGCAUGAAAAACCCAGAAACUACAUCUCUGAAGACCUACUGCUUACCGGGAGAAGCAGGGCCUCACAAGGAUCCCAGGAUGGAAUGAAAAUAGGCCAGAUGUCACGAGGGUCUCCUGUGGAUAACUACAGGUGCUCUGACUCAAGGCAGAGAUGGCCAUGUCCACCGUGGAGAAGAAGAGAGCUAAGAUAGCUUAGGCCUCAGGGUGAUAAAGGCACGACAUGGAGGCUUGGUAGUUCGGAGCGUUCAGCAAGAUUUUGUGUGGAUGUGCAAC